rnacentral:rRNA from 2 species
GACGACGCUGGCGGCGUGCCUAAUACAUGCAAGUCGAACGAACUCUGGUAUUGAUUGGUGCUUGCAUCAUGAUUUACAUUUGAGUGAGUGGCGAACUGGUGAGUAACACGUGGGAAACCUGCCCAGAAGCGGGGGAUAACACCUGGAAACAGAUGCUAAUACCGCAUAACAACUUGGACCGCAUGGUCCGAGUUUGAAAGAUGGCUUCGGCUAUCACUUUUGGAUGGUCCCGCGGCGUAUUAGCUAGAUGGUGGGGUAACGGCUCACCAUGGCAAUGAUACGUAGCCGACCUGAGAGGGUAAUCGGCCACAUUGGGACUGAGACACGGCCCAAACUCCUACGGGAGGCAGCAGUAGGGAAUCUUCCACAAUGGACGAAAGUCUGAUGGAGCAACGCCGCGUGAGUGAAGAAGGGUUUCGGCUCGUAAAACUCUGUUGUUAAAGAAGAACAUAUCUGAGAGUAACUGUUCAGGUAUUGACGGUAUUUAACCAGAAAGCCACGGCUAACUACGUGCCAGCAGCCGCGGUAAUACGUAGGUGGCAAGCGUUGUCCGGGAUUUAUUGGGCGUAAAGCGAGCGCAGGCGGUUUUUUAAGUCUGAUGUGAAAGCCUUCGGCUCAACCGAAGAAGUGCAUCGGAAACUGGGAAACUUGAGUGCAGAAGAGGACAGUGGAACUCCAUGUGUAGCGGUGAAAUGCGUAGAUAUAUGGAAGAACACCAGUGGCGAAGGCGGCUGUCUGGUCUGUAACUGACGCUGAGGCUCGAAAGUAUGGGUAGCAAACAGGAUUAGAUACCCUGGUAGUCCAUACCGUAAACGAUGAAUGCUAAGUGUUGGAGGGUUUCCGCCCUUCAGUGCUGCAGCUAACGCAUUAAGCAUUCCGCCUGGGGAGUACGGCCGCAAGGCUGAAACUCAAAGGAAUUGACGGGGGCCCGCACAAGCGGUGGAGCAUGUGGUUUAAUUCGAAGCUACGCGAAGAACCUUACCAGGUCUUGACAUACUAUGCAAAUCUAAGAGAUUAGACGUUUCCCUUUCGGGGGACAUGGAUACAGGUGGUGCAUGGUUGUCGUCAGCUCGUGUCGUGAGAUGUUGGGUUAAGUCCCGCAACGAGCGCAACCCUUAUUAUCAGUUGCCAGCAUUAAGUUGGGCACUCUGGUGAGACUGCCGGUGACAAACCGGAGGAAGGUGGGGAUGACGUCAAAUCAUCAUGCCCCUUAUGACCUGGGCUACACACGUGCUACAAUGGAUGGUACAACGAGUUGCGAACUCGCGAGAGUAAGCUAAUCUCUUAAAGCCAUUCUCAGUUCGGAUUGUAGGCUGCAACUCGCCUACAUGAAGUCGGAAUCGCUAGUAAUCGCGGAUCAGCAUGCCGCGGUGAAUACGUUCCCGGGCCUUGUACACACCGCCCGUCACACCAUGAGAGUUUGUAACACCCAAAGUCGGUGGGGUAACCUUUUAGGAACCAGCCGCCUAAGGUGGGACAGAUGAUUAGGGGAAGUCGAGCAAG